rnacentral:rRNA from 1 species
UACGUAGGGGGCGAGCGUUGUCCGGAAUCAUUGGGCGUAAAGCGCGUGUAGGCGGCCCGGUAAGUCUGAUGUGAAAGCCCUGGGCUCAACCUGGGAAUGGCAUUGGAUACUGGCGACCUAGAGUGCGGUAGAGGGGUGUGGAAUUCCCGGUGUAGCAGUGAAAUGCGUAGAUAUCGGGAGGAACAUCUGUGGCGAAGGCGACACCCUGGACCAGCACUGACACUGAGGCACGAAAGCGUGGGGAGCAAACAGG